CUAAAGUACAUCCUUAAUUAUUGAAUUUGGAUUAUGUACCUACAUGUUAAUUAAUGUUUUUCUUAAACAACCUGUUGUUCCAAUCAUGUGUGAAAUUAUGAAAAACCUGCCAUUCAUGACAUAAUUAUUGAUGGAACAAGUGAAAAUAGGUUGUGUUCUAGGGAGCGGUACAUGAUACCUUUCGGUUCGUGAAAGCAGAAG
rnacentral:lncRNA from 1 species